rnacentral:lncRNA from 1 species
GUGGUAAGAAAAAUACACUGGAGCCUUGACCUUGUUAACUGAUCUUGGUCUUACAGUAAACGGCAAACGCCCAGCUCAGGCAUGACACGCAACAGCAACGGAGGGCUCAUACAUCAUUACGUCCAGAUUCCUGCUGCGGCAGCCAUUCACUCAUUGGGAAAUACUGAGUGCGAGACUAACACCAACUGGAGUGCCAGGCUUCCUGAAAUGGACUGCUGCCAGGGGCCAGAAGGGAAUAACCCCAACCUACCCCACUCCUGCGGCAGUGAUGUGGGCCACACUACGAGGGCCACACUACGAGGGCCACAGCAGGCUCUCCACCCCACGGGAGCUCUGGAAGAACAGGAGGUAUGUCUCCUUUCACUGCUGUGUCCCCACUUGUAAUUCCCUGGGAGCCCAAUGCAUAUUUGUAUACUCCAUCUGGAGGAAUACACCAAUAGAGAAUGUGUGAGUUAGCUGCAGUGCUUUCACACCACCACAGACCAGCCAGCAUUCUGCAGAAGUGCAAGGAGCCUGCCUUCAAGCACUGUAAUUAAAUAUAGUAGGAACUCAGCAAGCAUGGUGUCUGUCCUUCCUGUUGUCGGCCAUGGUCUCUCGCAUGGGAAUGAGAUUCCUUGGCAAUAUCCGCUCUGGAGUUUGGUGACAAUGACAGAUAUGAGUGCAGAUAUCAGCAACUGCAAUCUCUCUCUCAGACACGCAUACAUACAGA